ensembl:lncRNA
CUCACCCUUAGAUGGACACCGCUGUAAGGACUCUGAGGCUUGAGACUAGCAAGAGAGGGAGGCCCAAUACCCCUCGCCGUCCCAGUUCAGCAGGAAGUAGCCCGAGAGACCUCAACGGCCCUAUUCCGAAAGAAUUGGGCCUCCCAUCUCUUGAGGGAGGAAUGUUAGGUAGUCAGAAUAGGAAAAAGGAGUCCAGAAUGGUGGUGGCUGAAAGACAAAGGAAAAGCCCAUGAAAAUGGAACAAAAGAAAAUCCGAGGAGCAGAGUGAGAGCCUCAGUGGUCAUGUAUGGAUGUGAGAGUUGGACUGAAGAAGGCUGAGCGCCGAAGAAUUGAUGCUUUUGAAGUGUGGCGUUGGAGAAGACUCUUGAGAGUCCCUUGGACUGCAAGGAGAUCCAACCAGUCCAUUCUGAAGGAGAUCAGCCCUGGGAUUUCUUUGGAAGGAAUGAUGCUAAAGCUGAAACUCCAGUACUUUGGCCACCUCAUGCGAAGAACUGACUCAUUGGAAAAGACUCUGAUGCUGGGAGGGAUUGGGGGCAGGAGGAGAAAGGGACCACAGAGGAUGAGAUGGCUGGAUGGCAUCACUGACUCGAUGGACAUGAGUCUGAGUGAACUCUGGGAGUUGGUGAUGGACAGGGAGGCCUGGCGUGCUGCGAUUCAUGGGGUCGCAAAGAGUUAGACAUGACUGAGCGACUGAACUGAACUGAACCUGUGAAUAGAAGAGAUUAACACACCCCUUCCAAAGGCUGACCAUUCUCUUGGGGAUGUUUUGCAAGACUGAAGACCCUUUCACUUUACUUCCCCACUGCCUCUCCCUCCUAUUCUGCCUUUUGACUUUAGUUCCUCAUUGCUUCUUUCUCUCUGAUCUAUAAAAGAACCUGGCAUCCACACCCCAGUUAGAUGGUUAUUUUGAGGCGCUAGCCUGCCAUUUUCUAGGUCUGCCAGCUCCCCAAUUAAAGUCUCUUCCUUGCCUCAACACCUCAAGUCUUGGGUGCAUUGGCCUGUUGUGUAGCAAGCAGAGUGAGCUUGGACUCAGUAAAAAGGCCCCACAUUCCCAUUCCAAAAUUUCAGAAUCAGGUACAACAGUAUAACAAAAGAGGUUAGACUCCAGUUGGGUUUCUGACAAAUGGAACGAAUCAAUGUCACCUGGGUGUAUGGCUAACUCCUUUCUGUCAUGGUCCGUGCACGGGUUGGAAAAGAAUUUCCAGACAAGAGACAGGAUGAGAGGGAAGUAAAGUUUUUUUAGAACAGGAGACGCUAUUAGAAUAGCAGGCCAGCUCAGGGGAGAACUGACGUUGAACAGGGGUCCUUAGUCCACUUUUAUACCCAGGGUACAAGGAGUGGGAUAGGGGUCUUGCGGGUCAUUUGCUGAUUGGAUGAGGCACG